CAUGUCCUCUUCCAAAAUUGAUGCUCAUAUUCCUCUCUGGAUUGUCUCAGCAUGUUAAUUUGCUCAGAUUUUCAAGUUUUAGUAAUGGUUAAGUUUGGAAGUUAGUGUCAUCUUCUAUAGUAGGUGAAUCAUGUUGGCUUUAGAGGUCUAGUUUGGUAAGAUGUUAAUCUAGUUUGAGUCAUAAACAUGAUGGGAUCUAAGUUGAAUUAAGCAUGGAUUAUAUAUUGAGAUUCCAAUGCUUUGCUUAUCGUCUUUGUUAUUUAAAGAUUUGUUUGUUCUCUGUAGAAAAUGCUAAAAACAUGGAUUUUACGUAAGCAUUAAUUGUUGACUUAGGAUAUUGACUCGUAUUGGUUCUUAUAUGUUAUCUUUUGGNNNN
rnacentral:lncRNA from 1 species